GCGGAGGAAAAGAAACCAACAGGGAUUGCCUCAGUAACGGCGAGUGAAGCGGCAAAAGCUCAAAUUUGAAACCCUCGGGAUUGUAAUUUGAAGAUUUGGCAUUGGAGAAAGCUAACCCAAGUUGCUUGGAAUAGUACGUCAUAGAGGGUGACAACCCCGUCUGGCUAACCGUUCUCCAUGUAUUGCCUUAUCAAAGAGUCGAGUUGUUUGGGAAUGCAGCUCAAAGUGGGUGGUAAACUCCAUCUAAAGCUAAAUACUGGUGAGAGACCGAUAGCGAACAAGUACUGUGAAGGAAAGGUGAAAAGAACUUUGAAAAGAGAGUGAAAUAGUAUGUGAAAUUGUUGAUAGGGAAGGAAAUGAGUGGAGAGUGGCCGAGGUUUCAGCCGCCCCUCGUGGGCGGUGUACUGCCGACGCCGAGUCAUCGAUAGCGAGACGAGGGUUACAAAUGGGAGCGCCUUCGGGCGUUCUCCCCUAACCCUCCACACUGCCACCGACGACAUAAUCCACCCAUUUCACCCGUCU
rnacentral:rRNA from 1 species